GCCCCUGUAGCUCAAUUGGAUAGAGUGUUGCCCUCCGAAGGCAAAGGUUCCAGAUUCGAAUUCUGGCAGGGGCAC
rnacentral:tRNA from 1 species